CAGUAGCCGCGGGAAUACGAGGGGGGUAAGCGUUGUUCGGAAUUAUUGGGCGUAAAGGGUGCGUAGGCGGCUUGACAAGUCUUGUGUGAAAUCUAUGGGCUCAACCCAUAGUCUGCACGGGAAACUGUCGGGCUUGAGAAUGGGAGAGGUGAGUGGAAUUUCCGGUGUAGCGGUGAAAUGCGUAGAUAUCGGAAGGAACACCAGUGGCGAAGGCGGCUACCUGGACAAAUACUGACGCUGAGGCGCGAAAGCGUGGGGAGCAAACAGGAUUAGAUACCCCUGUAGUCCCUGUCUCUUAUAC
rnacentral:rRNA from 1 species